rnacentral:rRNA from 1 species
GAUGAACGCUAGCGGCGGGCCUAAUACAUGCAAGUCGAACGAUAGAAGAGGGCUUGCUCUCUUCGAAAGUGGCGCACGGGUGCGUAACGCGUAUGCAACCUACCUUAAUCAGGGGGAUAGCCCGAAGAAAUUCGGAUUAACACCGCAUAAAAUAACAGUACAGCAUUGUACAAUGAUCAAAUAUUUCAAGGAGUAAGAUGGGCAUGCGUGACAUUAGCUAGUUGGCGGGGUAACGGCCCACCAAGGUGACGAUGUCUAGGGGAUCUGAGAGGAUGACCCCCCACACUGGUACUGAGACACGGACCAGACUCCUACGGGAGGCAGCAGUAAGGAAUAUUGGUCAAUGGAGGCAACUCUGAACCAGCCAUGCCGCGUGCAGGAAGACGGCCCUCUGGGUUGUAAACUGCUUUUAUUCGGGAAUAAACCUCAUUAUGUAUAGUGAGCUGAAUGUACCGAAGGAAUAAGGAUCGGCUAACUCCGUGCCAGCAGCCGCAGUAA